rnacentral:rRNA from 1 species
UACGAAGGGGGCUAGCGUUGUUCGGAUUUACUGGGCGUAAAGCGCACGUAGGCGGAUCGUUAAGUCGGGGGUGAAAUCCUGGGGCUCAACCCCAGAACUGCCUUCGAUACUGGCGAUCUCGAGUCCGGAAGAGGUGAGUGGAACUCCUAGUGUAGAGGUGGAAUUCGUAGAUAUUAGGAAGAACACCAGUGGCGAAGGCGGCUCACUGGUCCGGUACUGACGCUGAGGUGCGAAAGCGUGGGGAGCAAACGGGG